rnacentral:rRNA from 1 species
UACGGGGGGGGCAAGCGUUGUUCGGAAUUACUGGGCGUAAAGGGCGCGUAGGCGGCUCGCUAAGUCGGAUGUGAAAACUCUGGGCUCAACCCAGAGCCUGCAUUCGAAACUGACGAGCUCGAGUACUGGAGGGGAAAGCGGAAUUCCUGGUGUAGCGGUGAAAUGCGUAGAUAUCAGGAGGAACACCGGUGGCGAAGGCGGGACUCUGGGCCGAUACUGACGCUGAGGAGCGAAAGCGUGGGGAGCGAACAGG